CAAUUACAAAGUAUCGUGUCGCAAAGGAAUCAAAAGAUUUUUCCAAAGAUGUUUCCCUGAUUGACAUUUUAAAUUCAUCAAAGAAUUUACCAAAACCAUGCUGGGAAUUUUGUGGGGCAAGUGAUAGAUUACCAAUUCCUUAUAGUGGGCACUCUUAUAUAUUGCUUGGAAAGCGAAUUUAUCACUGCCAUCAAGGUAAAGAUAUUGAUGCUAAAAAAAAAGAAAGAUACCGAAUGGAAAAU